UCUUCGUUUACAGUUGCUUCGUAACGAUCGUCUACGAACGCGGGAGGAUUGUCGUUAUAGUCUUUUAGUUUGACGUGCACAGAAGUUCUUGCGAAAUGUUUUGGAUUUCCAUUGUCGGUGGCGACUACCUAAACACGGAUGGGAAACAAGAUUGAUACGAAGAAGCAGAAGAUUGAAAGGAUGUAACAGGAUUUCUACUGCAUUGGAGCUGGACUUAAUAACCACUUACCCGUGUCGUUAUCUCUGGAGCUGACUCUCAACACGGAAGUGCCGAACGGCGCUGCCUCGGAUACCGAGAUGUUUAAUGAUGACUCGGAUAAUUGAAGGAGUUGCUCGGUUUCGCGGACACCAAGAAGAGACACUGAAUGCAAGUCACGUGGUGAACACGUUUAUACAAGACCGUUGGAUACCGUGAAUGAAUUUGCGGAUGCUACCAGAAAUGUCUGCACCUUUGAACAUGUUGUGCAACUUAACAGGUUGACUCCAUUCAUUUGAUUGAUUUUUCUCUUUGGAAUAUUAUGGAGAAAAAUUACUGUAAUCGUGCAUAGUCAUUGACAAGCGGUUAGUUGUCGUGAAAAAUGACGGACAUCGUGCACGAGCCGUGCAAUUAUGGAAGCUGUGUAUGGCAGACGAAAGUCUCGGACCGCCCAGGCGGCCAUUUCGUACGAUAUUCUGAUUUUCCGAUGUUUAACUGGAUGUGGAUUUAUCGCGCGAGAAUCAACUCAAAAAGAAUCAACCGAAGGAAACUUAUAGUUACUGUUCCUUUUCGUGCAUGAAAAUCAUCAUAGAAAGAAGAGAGAGAGAGAAGAGAAAGAAAGAGAGAAAGAGAGCAGUGCAGUAGCGUGAUACAGUGCAACACAGCAGACCGAUAGAACUAGUAUUUUUUAUACUCACAAGGACCAUUGUUACUGUCGGGGGCUGCGAAACAGGGAGAUACAACAACACUUUAAUUUCUAGUUUAAUCAGAUAAGCAUUCGAUAAAGAAAUAAAUUAAAUAAGGGAGAGAUUGGUAAAGAGAGGAGAAUUAAUUAAUUAAAAUAAAUAAAUAAAUAAAUAAAUGAAUGAAAUAAACUACUAUAAAUAAAAAUGGUAAUAAUAAAUUGGAACGUAAAUUUGAAUUAUCGUGUGGGGGGGGUGUGAAUUAAAUCGAGAUAUAAAUAUAAUUAUUUACGAUUAAUUUUCACGCUUACGAACAAAUUAACCGUAUAAUUGUAUAACUGCAGCUUGUGUUACGUGCGAUACAUUCCAACAUCCCCAAUUUGCUACUGUUGUCUCACCACUACUACACCGUGACUUGAUUAGAAUUUAGUCACCGAAUACCAUGUAUACAGGUAGGGGGAACCAACAUUCGUCAUUCGUUAAAGUAGAAAGCGCGGUUUGUUUGUUUGCUUGUUUGUGUAAAUCAUUUUAUAUAUUUUUAACCCUUUCAUUGCUGUUGCCGUUCUCAAAAAUUUUGGAAAGGAUUUUCUUCGCUAUCGUAUAUAGUACACGUAUAUAUAAAAUUGAUAAAUCGUUACGAUAAAAUUGCCUUACAGCCAUAAACGAUUACACAAAAGAUACAAAGUAAAUUAUUUCGCGUGUUGGAUCGAUUAUCGCUGUAAACGUAAGAGAGACCAGGGGAAAAACUCGGUCUCUCGUCAGCCCGUUCAGUGAACAUUUUCAGUAAUGAAAAGGUCGAAAAUUAUUAUUAUAUAUAUGUGUCCCACAGCCGAGUUGGAAUGAGAAUCCUCAGGAGACGUUUCAUUCGGGACUGGGGAUUUAGGACGCAACGUAUUCUGAUCGCUAUUCGAAUGUAACACACGUUCGCCGCUUUUUCGUGACGCAAUUGAAGAAAAAAAAAA